GGAAACCUGUGCCAGGGCCUCACCACUCUCACAGUCAGAAAUUGCUUCCUAAUAUCUAAGAAAAACCUACUCUCAGCUGGAAUUUCUUCCUGGAAAAAGUUGCUCAGCGUUGGAAGGGGCUGCCCGGGCCAGAAGAAUGUUUGAGGGAGAAGUGGCAAGUCUGGAAGCCAUCCUGAAAACACAGACAAUAAAAGUACCUAAACCCAUCAAAGUCAUUGACCUGCCUGGGAGCAUUACUGCGUUUGUGAUGGAGCAUUUGGAAAUGAGAAACUUGAACAGAGGGAAAAAUGACCAGCCUCAUCACCUGUUUUGUAUACUUGCCCUCUGUAUAAGAACCACAGCUUUACUGCUUGGCAUGAUUGUGCAGAGGCUCUUCCCCAAAUCAGUUAAUUUGAUUUCAGCAUUUUCAGCUCUUACCUUCAUUCUGUUGGUUACAGACUUUUUCUGUGAGACCCUUCUCUGUGACAAGUAACUUAACACAGUGAAUUCAUCUGUUUGAUUCCAUUAGGGAGGUGAUCAUGACCAAUUUCUCACCUCUCUCAGAACUUCUGCAGCCAGUUUAAAGUCUUGUCCCUCAUCCUGCUUGUUGGCAGAGUUUCUAAUUCAGGAAGAGCCCUCAGUGAGUCCCAAGAGAAAGGGCAGAGAUGUUGCUGUUUUGGGGUCAAAAAUGGUACCUGUCCUAGGGUGACUGUUAUCCCCAUUCGUGUGUAUGUAAUUUAUGCUGGAUAUUAUGUUCUGUGCCUUUAAGACUGGCAGAGUGAGAGUUUUGUUUUGGGCCUCCUAUCAGCUACUCGGCGGGACAUACAGAUAGCACCAGAGCAUGUUGCGGCUUCUCUGCUUUUUGCCCUGCUUUUUGCUCUCGCUCUUGCUUCUGCUUCGCUUCUGCUUUGCUUGCUCUUGCUUCUUUCCCCCCUUCUCAUUAG
rnacentral:lncRNA from 1 species